AACUCUUAGAUGUAGAUCACUUGGCUUAUGGAUCGAUGAAAAACACAGCUAACUGAUAAAUAAUGCGAACUCCAUAGGCAUUUAGCACGAUUUCAAACGUACACUGCACAUCAGGUUAGUUACUGAUGUCCAGUUGAGAGUUG
rnacentral:rRNA from 1 species